UACCUACAUAAUGGCACAAUGAUACAACCUCUCUCUCUUUACGCCUCGUCUCUCUCUAUUCAAUACAAUCGUACGAGCUUCAACUGCAGAUAAACCCUAAUCAGAGAAUAGAACCCGAAAUCAGGAGAAAAGAGCUUCAAUCUUUGUUCAAAGGGGGUGUUAUUUUUUGGAAAACACAAUAGUUUUGUUUGUGUGCUGGUGAUGUAAAUGCAAUAAAGAGGAGGCAUUGUGUCAAGUUCCUAACGUCCUGGGCAGCCAGCUGAAUUUGUUCCAAAAAGACAACCAAAAAAAUGUAUGGAAGAACAGGUCUUGAUCGCUUUAAGAAAGCUCAAACUUUAGAACCAUUCUCAGUAGGUGCAAAUUCAGCUUCUAAGACAAACAUACAGCCAGCUACAAAAGCAGCCAUCCAACCUUCGACGACGCAUCCUACAUCCCAAAUAUCAUACCACCAAACUCAGUACACAAAUCUACAUCCCUCUUCCCAGAAAUCAGUGGAGACAAAUGUACUUCCUGUGGUGCCAACUCAACAAGUGACUCAAGUUGGAGGAGGCCAAUCAACAUGGCAGCCACCUGAUUGGGCUAUUGAGCCCCGACCAGGGGUUUAUUAUCUUGAAGUCAUCAAGGAUGGUGAAGUACUUGAUCGCAUUAAUUUGGAUAAGCGUAGGCACAUCUUUGGACGCCAGUUUCAUGCUUGUGAUUUUGUUCUUGAUCAUCAGUCUGUCUCACGCCAACAUGCUGCUGUUGUUCCACACAAAAACGGAAGCAUAUAUGUAAUUGAUUUGGGAUCUGCACAUGGCACAUUUGUUGCAAAUGAGAGACUGACAAAGGAUUCCCCUGUGGAACUUGAGGCUGGACAGUCUUUGAAGUUUGCUGCAUCAACAAGGACCUAUAUCCUGAGAAAGAACAAUGCCGCUCUCUUUCCUCCACCACAACCUGCAGAAAUUGAUCUGCCCCCACCUCCCAAUCCAACAGAUGAGGAAGCUGUUUUGGCUUAUAACACAUAUCUAAAUCGUUUUGGGCUUAUGAAACCAGGUACAGCGUCUAAAGUUUCAAAGUCAAGUAUGGGGACAGAUGACAAUUCCAUCUCUGAAAGAGCUGCUAAGAGAGUUAGGAGAACUAGAGUGGCAUUUAGAGAUCAGGUUGGAGGAGAGCUGGUUGAAGUGGUUGGAAUCUCAGAUGGAGCAGAUGUGGAAACAGAACCUGGGCCGGUUGGAGUGAAAGAAGGAAGUCUAGUUGGAAAGUAUGAAUCCCUUGUACAAAUUACUGUUAUUCCCAAAGGGAGGGAGCAGUCCUCUGCAAAGGAUUCCACUGUUUCACAAACAGGUGUCACUGAAAAACUUAAACAAGUAUUGAACAAGGUUAAAACUCCUCCAAAAGGUGGAAUAUAUGACGAUAUUUAUGGAGAAUCAAUUUCUGGUAAAGUCGGUUCCUCUUGGGCUUUUACCACUAAUGAUCAAGCUCCCUCAACCAAUGAUCCAAAUGCAGAAUCUCCUGCUUCUUUGCCUAUAAGUAAGUCUAGCAAUGACGAUGAUGAUACGGAUGAUUUAUUUGGCUAGGCAUAUGCUUUCCUUGGUUGCAAGUGUUGAUCAGUACUCCACAAGUUAAGGGCAUGCAUUUCUUAGAAAACAUGCCAGGUAAAUGCAAAUUUUGUUGUACUUCAUCAUAUUAUUCUUUUCCUGGCUGUGCAUUGGAGGAUUGAACUAUAACCAUCUGUCUGUCAAAAUGAAAUGGAAAAAGAUGUCUGUUAAUGUUUGUUCUCUAUUCUUAACUGAUUGAGCAUUUUAAAAGGCUACAUCAAAUUGUGGUAAAGAUCAUUUGCAAAGAUUCACUUCCAGUUGUCAGGAACAAUUAUUUGAUAGAAGUGGCUACAAUCACCAGAACAAGAAGCAGCGCUGUGUCUGUCUUUUCCCUGUUAGUUUUGUUCAGAAGGCACAAAGGUAAGUAGACAUGAGAUUUUGGAUAAGACAAUUGAAUUACCAAAUUCAGUCCAUGGAAUGAGACAUCUUGAGCAAUGAGCCAUGUCAAAAGAACAUGAAGGGAAAGGAAGGCGUAGUGUUGAAAUGAUUCCAAGAAUUGCAGGAAUUCCACGCUCCAAAGCGAACUGAACCUGGGCCUCAUGGUUAUCUCUUGGUGCAAAAAAAAAAAACCGUAAGAAUCUCACGAUCUAGUAAAUUCCCUCCCCAGCUUGCAACCUAGACAUUAGAAGACCAUUCUUUAUACUGUAUGACACACAUUUAUUAUAAGUAUGACACACAUUUCUUUUAA